rnacentral:lncRNA from 1 species
CUGGCUUUGCUACUUCCUGUUCUGCUAUUCAAUAAAUAUUUAUUCAGUGCCUAUUUUAUCCAAAUCACUUGAUUAGGUACUGCAUGACUUUGGGGAAAUGCGGGAAUUCUGCCAGAGGCUAAGGGCAAACACAAAGCUUGUUACCUGUUCUGGAAUAUAAGAAAGGCUCUCAUUCGAAUUCCUGAAUCAAACCCAGAAUGGAAAAAUGAGGGCAGGAACCCGUGAUCUCCCCACAGGGGUUUUCAGUGUUGGAAACAAGGUUGUCUGGGGUCACAACUGAAUCACAGCCCUCUGAGACUUAGCACAGCAACAAUACUCGUUCUAAACCCCACCGGGGGAGAGGGAAAGGCAGUUGGUAUAACCAUAUGCCUCCCUUUCAUGGGCUCCUGCAGAAUAUCUCCAGGCUUUCCAAAGCUGGUCUACCAGACACCUGCAGGCACUCCCAUCCCACGAAGCUGUUGGUUUUAAGAAACCAAUAUACAUCUCUCACUAUUAAGAUCUACCAAGAAGACAGAAAUGUGAGUACAUCAGGGCAGUUGGCACAUCACAGCUGUCAGUAAAGGGAGGCUGCUGGCUGUGAAGAUGGCUCAUGUUGUCCUGAAUGAAGUUGAAAUGGGAGAUUUUUCUGUGCCUUUCCCGUCCUCCACAAUCCUGUGCCCCAUUGCUAUUUCUUCAGAGGGUUCCUACAACAUUACGAGACACUCUGGGACUUGUAGACAUUCUGACUAGAGCGUCAUUGACUCAUAGAACUCAGGGAAGCUUUAGAAAUCAUCCGGACUAGGGGGCUGGCAUCGUGGCAUAGGAAGUAAGGCUACCACCUGCAAUGCCAGCAUCCCAUAGGGAUGCUGAUUCAGGUCCGGACGACUGCAUUUCCGAUCCAGUUCCCUGCUGAAAGUCUGGGAAUAGCAGUGGAAGAUGGGCCCCUGCCACCCACAGGGAUGCAGCUCCUGGCUCCUGGCUCCUGGCUUUGACCAGGCCCAGCCCGGAUCAUUGUAGCUAUCUGGGGAGUGAACCAGUGCAGGGACUAUACCCCUGCUUCCCUUUCCUCCUUCUGACUCUGUAACUCUUGAUUUUCAAAUUAAGUAAGCAAGUCUUCGAAAAGAGAAGUCAUCCAGACUGACUCUCCAUGCUGUAGACGAUGCAGAGACAUAGAAGACCGAACACAAUCCUUUAACAAUGCAUCCAAUGUCAUACACUUACUGACAAGCAUGACACUAGCUUUCUGGUCCCCAG